rnacentral:rRNA from 1 species
GACGAACGCUGGCGGCGUGCUUAACACAUGCAAGUCGAACGGAAAGGCCCUGCUUUUGUGGGGUGCUCGAGUGGCGAACGGGUGAGUAACACGUGAGUAACCUGCCCUUGACUUUGGGAUAACUUCAGGAAACUGGGGCUAAUACCGGAUAGGAGCUCCUGCUGCAUGGUGGGGGUGGAAAGUUUCGGCGGUUGGGGAUGGACUCGCGGCUUAUCAGCUUGUUGGUGGGGUAGUGGCUUACCAAGGCUUUGACGGGUAGCCGGCCUGAGAGGGUGACCGGCCACAUUGGGACUGAGAUACGGCCCAGACUCCUACGGGAGGCAGCAGUGGGGAAUAUUGCACAAUGGGCGGGAGCCUGAUGCAGCAACGCCGCGUGCGGGAUGACGGCCUUCGGGUUGUAAACCGCUUUCGCCUGUGACGAAGCGUGAGUGACGGUAAUGGGUAAAGAAGCACCGGCUAACUACGUG